rnacentral:rRNA from 1 species
UGGGGCGCAGCAGGCGAGAAAACUUUGCAAUGUGCGAAAGCAAGACAAGGUUAAUCCGAGUGGUUUCUGCUAAAGAAACCUUUUGUCGGUCCUAGAAACACCGAUGAAUAAGGGGUGGGCAAGUUCUGGUGUCAGCCGCCGCGGUAAAACCAGCACCUCAAGUGGUCAGGAUGAUUAUUGGGCCUAAAGCAUCCGUAGCCGGCUCUGUAAGUUUUCGGUUAAAUCUGUACGCUCAACGUACAGGCUGCCGGGAAUACUGCAGAGCUAGGGAGUGGGAGAGGUAGACGGUACUCGGUAGGAAGGGGUAAAAUCCUUUGAUCUAUUGAUGACCACCUGUGGCGAAGGCGGUCUACCAGAACACGUCCGACGGUGAGGGAUGAAAGCUGGGGGAGCAAACCGGAUUAGAUACCCGGGUAGUCCCAGCUGUAAACUAUGCAAACUCAGUGAUGCAUUGGCUUGUGGCCAAUGCAGUGCUGCAGGGAAGCCGUUAAGUUUGCCGCCUGGGAAGUACGUACGCAAGUAUGAAACUUAAAGAAAUUGGCGGGGGAGCACCACAAGGGGUGGAGCCUGCGGUUUAAUUGGAUUCAACGCCGGACAUCUCACCGGGGGCGACGGCAGAGUGAAGGCCAAGUUGACGACUUUGCCGGACUCGCCGAGAGGUGGUGCAUGGCCGCCGUCAGCUCGUAUCGUGAGACGUCCUGUCAAGUCAGGUAACGAGCGAGACCCUUAUCCUUAGUUGCCAGCGGAUCCCUCUGGGAUGCCGGGCACUCUAAGGAGACCGCUGUCGAUAAGGCAGAGGAAGGAGAGGGCGACGGUAGGUCCGUAUGCCCCGAAUCCCCCGGGCAACACGCGGGCUACAAUGCGCGGGACAGAGGGCUGCGACCCCGAGAGGGAAGCCGAUCCCUAAACCUGCGCCUAGUUCGGAUCGAGGGCUGCAACUCGCCCUCGUGAAGCUGGAAUCCCUAGUAAUCGCGUGUCACUAUCGCGCGGUGAAUACGUCCCUGCUCCUUGCACACACCGCCCGUCAAG